UACGUAGGGACCGAGCGUUGUCCGGAAUCAUUGGGCGUAAAGAGCGCGUAGGCGGCCCAGUAAGUCCGCUCUGAAAGUCAGGGGCUCAACCCCUGGAUGCGGGUGGAUACUGCUGGGCUAGAGUCCGGUAGAGGCGUGUGGAAUUCCGGGUGUAGUGGUGAAAUGCGUAGAGAUCCGGAGGAACACCAGUGGCGAAGGCGACACGCUGGGCCGUACCUGACACUGAUGCGCGACAGCAUGGGGAGCAAACAGG
rnacentral:rRNA from 1 species